rnacentral:rRNA from 1 species
UACGUAGGGCGCAAGCGUUGUCCGGAAUUAUUGGGCGUAAAGAGCUCGUAGGCGGCUUGUCGCGUCGGCUGUGAAAACUCGGGGCUCAACCCCGAGCCUGCAGUCGAUACGGGCAGGCUAGAGUCCGGCAGGGGAGACUGGAAUUCCUGGUGUAGCGGUGAAAUGCGUAGAUAUUGGGAGGAACACCGGUGGCGAAGGCGGCCCCCUGGACCGGUACUGACGCUGAGGCGCGAAAGCGUGGGUAGCAAACGGG